UGCGGAUUGGUGUAAGGGUAACACGUUUGGCUCAUGUCCAGAAGAUAGGGGUUCGAAUCCUUUAUCCGCAC
rnacentral:tRNA from 1 species